UCAACUAGUUACCGGUAACAAAGGCCCGUGUUGGCCAAGUCUAAAGCAAUUUAAACUAGCUGGAUUAACUGACC
rnacentral:ncRNA from 1 species